rnacentral:misc_RNA from 1 species
CCCUCGUGGCCUUCAAGGUGUACUCCCGCCACGAUGUGGAGGCGAUGUUCUCGAUCGGCAUGGAAGGCGAAGCCGACUAAACGGGAACACGAAGCAGGCUCCAAGCGCUCAACUUCCUAGUAGGUGCCCCAUUUGCGACUUUCGUCCUGAAGGACUGAUGCUUCCUAUGCGCUCCCCCGCCCUCGAUCGCUCCUUGCGGCUGAUCGCGCUCUCCGCUCUCGCAGGUCUCGUCGUCACUGCCGUAGGCCCGAUCGGCGCGUCCGCUGCCCCCGUGUGUCACGACGUCCCC